UUCGCAAUGCCCGAAAGGGUGAACGAGCGACGCCGCGUGCAGGAGGAAGGCCUUCGGGUUGUAAACUGCUGUCAGGGGUUAUGAACGCUACGGGACUAAUACUCCUGUAGCUUGACAAAGGCCCCAGAGGAAGCUCCGGCUAAAUACGUGCCAGCAGCCGCGGUAAUACGUAUGGUGCGAACGUUGUUCGGAAUCACUGGGCAUAAAGAGCACGUAGGCGGUUGAGCAAGUCCAUUGUGAAAUCCCCCGGCUUAACCGGGGAACUGCAGUGGAUACUACUUGACUUGAGUGCAGGAGGGGAGGGUGGAAUUCCAGGUGGAGCGGUGAAAUGCGUAGAUAUCUGGAGGAACGCCGGUGGCGAAAGCGACUCUCUGGUCUGUAACUGACGCUGAGGUGCGAAAGCUAGGGGAGCAAACGGGAUUAGAUACCCCGGUAGUCCUAGCCCUAAACGAUGGGCACUAAGUAGAGGGGUUUU
rnacentral:rRNA from 1 species